rnacentral:rRNA from 1 species
GCCUACGACCAUAUCACCCUGAAUGCGCCCGAUCUCGUCUGAUCUCGGAAGCUAAGCAUGGUCGAGCCUGGUUAGUACUUGGAUGGGAGACUGCCUGGGAAUGCCAGGUGUUGUAGGGU